GGCUGGGUGGCACAAUGGUUAGAGCACUGGACUGAGCUUGUACCCAGAGGUCUUGGGUUCAAUCACAGAUGUUGCCA